ACAGCGUCAAGGAAACCAAUGGGCCACAGCGCUAUGUGACAGAGACUGCUGGCUUUGUGGCUCCUUUUCCACAGUGAGUUAUCAUCCUUGGAAGGCAGCUGCCCAGACUGGGUCAAUAUUUUCCAGUCUUCUUUGCAUCCACAGAAAUAGUGUGUGUUACCCCUGGGCUGGAAUCUUUAGGGUGUGGGAGUGACUCCUCUUUCUUUAUCCUUUCACACAGGCUAGACACCAAAGACCUCAAGCCCUAAGAGACCAAAAAGUACCAAGAAGGAAGGAGCCUGGUUUCCUGAGUCACCAUGGGAGGAAUGUUUCUUGGCAAUGUGGCU
rnacentral:lncRNA from 1 species